AUGUGUUUGACCACAAAUAUUGUGACUCACAGAACGCAAACCAUCCUGGAAGGUCUCCCUAUUUUUCUCUGUGAAGAUUCCUCUGCACUUUUUAAAACAUGCCUGGACGAGACUCCAGAGGACAGACAGACCAGAGGGAUGAAGGUGGGAAUCCUUAUUGUAAUUGAAGAUGAUGCCACCCCCACCACACUACCCAGUGUCAUAAAAUUUGCUGUUGUGUUGGAGGAGGUGAUUGUACUGAAAGAUGCUCCAGACUUGCAGUCUGCACUUGCAUACCUGUUCGGCCUUCUGUUUGCCUUGGACUUUGAGUACCCAAAGCAACUAAAAUACACUUUCGAGGUUAUUGAGAAGGUGUUCAUGAAGAUGGGCACUCACUGUUCUCCUAGGGUACAGUCCCUCAAAACUAAGCUAUUACUGUGACGUUGCAUUUGUGGGGUGUUUGUAUCUUAAGCAGUUAAGAUGCAAGUGAAUAGUAUUGUUGUUUUUUUGUUUUUUUUGCAAUGUGCUUGCAUUUUGUUUGACUUGUUUUUGGUUCAACUGUAAACUUGAGGUUGUGAAAAAGAUUGUGCCACUGUUUUAGCACUUUAAGCACAAACGUGAAAGGAACACACUGUCUUUUUGGGACUUUAGCUUAUUCACCAUAUCCACCAGAGUUAGAUAAGUCCAUACAUACCCUUCUCAUCUCUGUGCGUGCUGUAACUCUGUCUGAUGAACCCACAGCUAGCCUAGCUUAGCACAAGGUCACAUGAGACACAGCCAUCUUCUAACCAUAUACAUACUGGGAACUAUAUUCUCAGAAGGCAAAGCACUGCGCAACACUCUGAACGAACUCUCUGCUCCUCAACACAGGGCUUCUCAGGUGCUGCAAGCAAAUCACUCCACAGAAUAGCAGUGCUUUGCCUUCUGAGAAUAUAGUUCCCAGUAUGUAUAUGGUUAGAAGAUGGCUGUGUCUCAUGUGACCUUGUUAUUUGUACACGCUGUGACUAUACAAAUCAAAACGUAAAUAGGAAAAUUGGUGUUAUUUUGACUCUUAUUGAGAGCAGUAUGCUAGCUGGAGCCAUUUACCUCCAGUCUUUGUGCUAAGCUAGGCUAACUGUGGGUUCGUCAGACAGAGUUACAGCACGCACAGAGAUGAGAAGGGUAUGUAUGGACUUAUCUAACUCUGGUGGAUAUGGUGAAUAAGCUAAAGUCCCAAAAAGACAGCGUGUUCCUUUCACGUUUGUGCUUAAAGUGCUGAAACAGUGGCACAAUGUUUUUCACAACCUCAAGUUUACAGUUGAACCAAAAACAAGUCAAACAAAAUGCAAGCACAUUGCAAAAAAAAAACAAAAAACAACAACAGUAUUCACUUGCAUCUUAACUGCUUAAUGGUGAAAAUGGUGAAAAAGCUAAAGUCCCCAAAAGACAGCGUGUUCCUUUUAACUUCCUUUCCUUUAACUAACGUGUUAAUUUAAAAUGUUAAACAUAGAACAUUUAAAGUUUUAAGGACCAAAUGUGAUAACACUUUGAAUGUUUAAAUAACAUUACUCUUAACCUAUUCUUUUAAUUAAUUGUUUAAAGAUGAGUAUGGCUGAAGUGUUUAACAUUGUUGUUGUUUUUUACAUUAACAAUGUGUUGCUGGUUUGAAAUAAAACCUGGACUAAAAUAUCAAGCAUGUAGUAGUUAUUUUUUUUUUUUUAAACCUUGUAAUAUUUAAAAACAUUUUAGUCAACUGAACAAACUUUAUUAAGUCAAGUGAAAAUAACAUUAAAAGUUGAAAUGUUAUAAUUUUCUACGUUUUUUUAACUAUAAAAACUCAAUCAGCUAAACAAAAGAUCUUAAGUUGAGAGAUAUGUGACCUUACUCAGUGAAUUGAGUAAAGUGAACUACUUUGUUUAAAAGUUGACUAAACUCAAAAAAGCUGUGCAGCAAGUUGCCUUGAAAUUUUAAGUUAUGUCAACUUUUCUUUUUUUACAGUAGUUUUGGGGGGUGGUUGAAAUUUAUUAUAUUAUUAUUUAGAACUUAGGUUUGAAAAGGGAACUCAAAAUAUGCCACUGAAAGGUUGUUUAGGGUCAGCGGCUAACAUUUAGCAAGUAGACAUUUAUUUGUAGUGUUCCUUUAAGUUUCCAAGAAAUCAUAAAAAGUCAAAAAAAAAGUUUUGGUUCUCAUACAAAAGAAGAAGUCAUGAGAUCCCCCCAUAAAAACUUUUUCAAAGUGCGGGUGCUAUGUAGUCUGAUGGACAUUUCACUGAACAAACUCACAGAAUCUGUUAAAGCAGCUCAUAAAUCGACAAAAAGUAUGACUUACAAUUAAUGAACUGCAAGGUCCAUAUCAAUCCAUAACUAAUCCUUGUUCUUACUUCUUAACCAAAACAGAAUAACACUGUGAUCACUGUUAUCCCAUUUUCACUCUAAGGAGCACACUAAGACAAUGCUGGUUGUCUGAAGGACUGUGUGUUGGAUCAGGCUGUCAGUUUUACAGGAGCUCCCUAAGGAAAUGUCCUGGCUCUUUUCCAUGUCACCUACAGAAAUACUCUGAUAACACUUUGAUUGCUAGAUGUGUGAGAGGAAGAAUAGUACGAGGGUUUUUAAUGCAGUAGUCUGCUAUUAUAGAAUAAAGGACAGAUAACUGCUAAGGAAUGCAGGGUCUGUCCUGGGAACAAACUCACUGAAGGUGGUGACUGAGAGAAGAGUGCUGUCCAAACUUUUAAACAUUAUGGAUACAUCCAUAACAAGAGCACUUUCCGUUCUAGAAUCAUCAUACCCUGGUGUAACACUGAGAGACAGAAAAUCCUUCCUGUCCCCUGCCAUUAGUCUGUACACUUUAUCCCUAUACUAAUGUUAGUCAUGUAUUUGCAUUACAACCAGUUCCUUUAAGAACUACACAUAUAAAACACAUAUACAUACAUACAUUAAGGCUGAUUUCUACUGGGUGGCCCUUAUUUUUGGCCUUCUGAAAUCUUCUGCUCUCACCUACCCAGUCAACUCUCUUUAAAGAGAAAUGGAAACAAACCAAAUUUCGCUGAGAUUGGACAACAUUUGGGGUGUACUCAACAAAGUCAAAAUUCUUUUGUAAUGACCAUAACAGCAUAUAAAUGAUAAUUAUACAAAACCAUUAGUAAACUGUGAAUUAGGUUAAAAACAAGAACACAGAACAGUGUUGUUAGUCUUAAAAUGUUCACCAAAUACAUUGGUGCCAAUGGUCUCGUGGACAACACACUGACAUGUAGCACCUUUGUGGUUGAGGCGCCCCAAGUUCAAGUCCCGGCUCACAGACCUUUCCUGAUUCUGUCCCACUUCACUUCCUGUCCACUUAGUGUCCUAUUGAAAUUAAGGCAUACAACGCCAAAAAUAAAACCUUGAAAAAGUUAAUUACAACGCUGCUGAUGAGAACUGAUCUUUGAAAAACUGCUAUCUGAUCUAGAUUGUGAUGUCAAUCUGACACGUGCCUCAGCCGCUGAAACUGGAAACAGAUUUUGGUGCUCUCUGACAAUCUGCCUAAUGAACUGCGUUUGUUCUUCAGUCUUUGAGAAGAGUCUGCUGUACUCUUAGAUACACCUCUUUGCAACAUCUCUUUCCUGCAUUCGCAUUGUUCCGGGAUCUUCAUUUAGACAGAAUAACGAAGAAGUUGUGAGACUGCUGUCAUUGGCAUGACAUAUUACCAAGUAUGGUAACCUAUACUCAGAAUUUCUGCUCUGCAUUUAACCCAUCCAAGUGCACACAUACAGCAAUGAGUAGUGAACCCAGCUCAGUCAUGGUUACUGAAGGUGGAAGAGAGCACUGUACAUUCACUCCCUCACCUACAAUUCCUGCCAGUACUGAGAGUCUAAAUUUUAUCAGUGAACAAAAACUCUGCUAAUGUCACCUAUCAGAUCUUGAGGUACCUAUUGAUAAAGAUGACUGAAAAGAUACAGUAGGUAGACAUCCAAAACGUCACUUCUACCGCCGCUCGUACCGCCGCCGCGGCGUCUGCAAAGUGCAUUUGCAGCUUUUGACCGCUGAGUGGCGCUUUAAUCACAAGUUUUCAAACAAGCGCAUCAAAGCACAUUUUUCGCAAAUAGACGUCAGUUUUGCCUCUCUGAUGUGUUACAUUUGACGGCUGCAGUCAGGGAAAAUGAAAGAAAAACACUAUAGUUAAAAAUAUUUAAUAUUCACAGAUGAAAGUUUGGUAAUUAUGAAGUUAUGUGCAUUUCUUAGAACGAAUUCAAGCAGGAUAAAUGUCAAGCCUGUGCCUGAGCCUGUGCUUAUAUUUUCUCUAAGCUACACAGUAUUACACCAUAUUUUAGAUUUGACACAUUUAAUAGGUGUGCAGUAUUAUUUAUAUAAUAUGAAUUACGUGUUAUAUUAUUCAAAAUAAAUUGUGGUUUACUUUGCAUCAGAGCAUUAAAAGUGGUAGCCUAUUUUAGUGAGCUAGGCUACAUGGAUUUAUAUGCAAAAUGUCAAUAUUCUCAUAUAUUAGGCCUAUAUUUU
ensembl:lncRNA